rnacentral:rRNA from 1 species
AGAUUGAACGCUGGCGGCGUGCUUAACACAUGCAAGUCGAGCGGUAACGCGGGAGCAAUCCUGGCGACGAGCGGCGAACGGGUGAGUAAUGCUUGGGAAUCUGCCCAUUAGUGGGGAACAACCAGCCGAAAGGUUGGCUAAUACCGCAUACGCCCUACGGGGGAAAGCGGGGGAUCGUAAGACCUCGCGCUAAUGGAUGAGCCCAAGUCGGAUUAGCUUGUUGGUAGGGUAACGGCCUACCAAGGCGACAAUCCGUAGCUGGUCUGAGAGGACGACCAGCCACACUGGGACUGAGACACGGCCCAGACUCCUACGGGAGGCAGCAGUGGGGAAUAUUGGACAAUGGGGGAAACCCUGAUCCAGCGACGCCGCGUGUGUGAAGAAGGCCUGCGGGUUGUAAAGCACUUUUAGGUGGGGAUGAAAAGCCUAAGGGUUAACACCUCGUGGGUCUUGACCUAACCCACAGAAAAAGCACCGGCUAACUCUGUGCCAGCAGCCGC